rnacentral:lncRNA from 1 species
AUGGAGGUUCCCAGACCAGGGGUCUGAUUGGAGCUGCAGCUGCUGGCCUACACCAGAGCCACAGCAGUGCAGGAUCCGAGCUGCGUCUUCGACUUACACCAAACCUCAAGGCAACACUGGAUCCUUAACCCACUGAGCGAGGCCAGGGAUCGAACCUGAAACCUUAUGGUUCCUAGUCAGAUUUGUUUCCGCUGAGCCACAACAGGAAUUCUAGUGUUUGAAUUAUGCUUAAAAAUACUGUUAAAAAUAUUCUUCUGUGUAUUCUUCUCCCUUUCUCUAAUGUUAACCUGAAUGCUCUUUCUAUUAUUUUGAAUUCUCAAAGCCUUUUAUAGAGUUUAUGUGCUCAUUUUCACCAGAAUAACAAUUUCCUGACAUUUCUUGCUUAAUUAUCACAAGGGAUUAACUUUAAAAAGUUUUACAUUCUGGCAAAUAUGCAGGCUCAUCUCUGAAAGAAAAAAGAUAUUUGUUUCCCAAACAGGAAUCUUAUAUGGGCUUUAAAUUCAUAUACAAGUUUACACAAAAUGUUUUGCACUCAUUUAUGGUAUUUUUUUGCAGGGGAUGGGAACAUUGCAACAUAUGUAUCCUUCUGGAGAGGAAAAGCAUUACCUAUCAGUCUGAAGAGGAGCACUGUUUAAGGAGCCAAAAGGUGUGCUUUUAGAGAUAUCUCUUCCCAGGCAAUGAUUCACACUACCACUUCCUCCACAUUACUCAGAGAGAGAGAGCAAAAAGAGUUUGGGCAGCUGUUGCAUCUGUGACUUUUGCUGAAGUAAGGUGAGUAUUUUCCUUUUUUUGGACAAAAGAGUUAAUAUUUAUUGAUCAACUGUUAUUUGCCAGGUAUGUUCUAAAAGCCAUCAGGUAUAAUAUAUAACUUACUUCUCUCAAUAUUAAUAAUUAGGGAUAAUUACUGAAUCAUCUACAUUCUUUUUUAAAAUAUUAUUUUCCAUCAUGGUCUGUUGCAGGAGAUUGGAUAUAGUUCUCUGUGCUACAUACUAGGAAUCUAUUGUCUACUCAUUCUAAAUGUAAUAGUUUGUACCUGUUAACCCCAAGCUCCCAGUCCAUCCCACUUCCUCCCACCUCUCCCUUUGGCAACCGUAAGUCUCUUCUCCUUGUCUCUGCGUCUUUUUCUGUUUUAUAGAUAGAUCAUUUGUGCCAUAUUUUAGAUUCCACAUAUAAAUGAUACCACAUGGUAUUUGUCUUUAUCUUUCUGGCUUAACUUCAGUUAGUAUGAGAAUCUCUAGUUGUACCUAUAUUGCUGCAAAUGGCAUUACUGUUUAGGUCUUCUGCCCAUUUUUUGAUUGGGUUUUUGCUUUUUUUGUUGUUGAAUUGUAUGAGUUGUUUGUAAAUUUUGGAGAUUAAGCCCUUGUUGGUUGCAUCAUAUGCAGCUGUUUCUUCCAUUCCUUAGGUUGUCUCUUUGGUUUUUUUAUUUUUUAUAAAUUCCUUUGCUGUGCAAAAUAUGUAAGAUUGAUUAGGUCCCAUUGAUUGAUUUUUGUUUUUAUUUCUGUUACCUUGGGAGACUGACCUAAGAAAACAUUUGUAUCAGUUUAUAUCAGAGAAUGCUUUGCCUAUGUUCUCUCCUAGGAGUUGUAUGGUGUCAUGUCUUAUGUUUAUAAAGCAAUUUUGAAUUUAUUUUUGUGCAUGGUGUGAGAAUGUGUUCUGGU